rnacentral:rRNA from 1 species
UUAUUGGAGGCUUGAAUGAAAGGUUUGACGGAGGAGAAGCUGUCUUGCUUGUUGGAAUUGAAUUUAACUUUUGUGUGAAAAGGCAUUAAUGGUUUAGAGGGACGAUAAGACCCUAUAAAACUUUACAUAUUGAUAUUGUUUGAUAAAAUAGUUUAAUUAAUUAUUGAGUGGUAGGUUGUGUUUUGCUGGGGCGGCAGAGAUAUAAUUCUAACUGUUUUAAAUAUGAAAUAUUUAUUAAUAGAGAGUGGUCCUUUAUUUAAGAGGUAAGAAUAAGUUACUUUAGGGAUAACAGCAUAAUUUUUUUUGAGAGUUCUUAUCGAAGAUAAUAGUUGUGACCUCGAUGAGGUGUAGGAGCUUAUAAGAGAGGGGCCUGUUCGGCCUAUAAAUAUUUACGUGAUCUGAGUUCA